UACGUAGGGGGCAAGCGUUAUCCGGAAUCACUGGGCGUAAAGGGUGCGUAGGCGGCUGAAUAAGUCAGGGGUGAAAGGCAUUGGCUCAACCAAUGUAAGCCUUUGAAACUGUUCAGCUUGAGUGCAGGAGAGGUAAGUGGAAUUCCUAGUGUAGCGGUGAAAUGCGUAGAUAUUAGGAGGAACACCAGUGGCGAAGGCGACUUACUGGACUGUAACUGACACUGAGGCUCGGAAAGCGUGGGGAGCAAACAGG
rnacentral:rRNA from 1 species